UACGUAGGGGGCAAGCGUUGUCCGGAUUUAUGGGCGUAAAGAGCGUGUAGGCGCCAGACAGGUCCGUUGUGAAAACUCGAGGCUCAACCUCGAGACGCCGAUGGAAACCGUCUGGCUAGAGUCCGGAAGAGGAGAGUGGAAUUCCUGGUGUAGCGGUGAAAUGCGCAGAUAUCAGGAAGAACACCCGUGGCUAAGGCGGCUCUCUAGUACGGUACUGACGCUGAGACGCGAAAGCGUGGGGAGCGAACAGG
rnacentral:rRNA from 1 species